GGUUAGGGUUAGGGUUAGGGUUGGAGUUAGGGUUAGUGUUGGAGCUAGGGUUAGGGUUGGGCUUGGAGCUAGGAUUUUUCUGAGUGCACUGAACCAACUCCCGAGUCUCUAGGACGUUCCUAAAAAAAAUUGAUUUUUUUCCCAUAGGAAUGCAUGGGUUCGGGUUAUGGUUAGGGUUAGGGUUGGAGCUAGGGUUAGGGUUAGGGUUAGGGUUGGAGUUAGGGUUAGUGUUGGAGCUAGGGUUAGGGUUGGGCUUGGAGCUAGGAUUUUUCUGAGUGCAAUGAACCAACUCCCAAGUCUCUUGGACGUUCCUAAAAAAAAUUGAUUUUUUCCCAUAGGAAUGCAUGGGUUAGGGUUAGGGUUAGGGUUGGAGCUAGGGUUAGGGUUAGGGUUAGGGUUGGAGUUAGGGUUAGUGUUGGAGCUAGGGUUAGGGUUGGGCUUGGAGCUAGGAUUUUUCUGAGUGCAAUGAACCAACUCCCGAGUCUCUAGGAUGUUCCUAAAAAA